CCUACGGUGGACUGCAGUCGAGAAUCAUUCACAAUGGGGGAAACCCUGAUGGUGCGACGCCGCGUGGGGGAAUGAAGGUCUUCGGAUUGUAAACCCCUGUCAUGUGGGAGCAAAUUAAAAAGAUAGUACCACAAGAGGAAGAGACGGCUAACUCUGUGCCAGCAGCCGCGGUAAUACAGAGGUCUCACGCGUUGUUCGGAAUCACUGGGCGUAAAGCGUGCGUAGGCUGUUUCGUAAGUCGUGUGUGAAAGGCGCGGGCUCAACCCGCGGACGGCACAUGAUACUGCGAGACUAGAGUAAUGGAGGGGGAACCGGAAUUCUCGGUGUAGCAGUGAAAUGCGUAGAUAUCGAGAGGAACACUCGUGGCGAAGGCGGGUUCCUGGACAUUAACUGACGCUGAGGCACGAAGGCCAGGGGAGCGAAAGGGAUUAGAUACCCCGGUAGUC
rnacentral:rRNA from 1 species